CAGCAGCCGCGGUAACACGGAGGGUGCAAGCGUUAUCCGGAUUUAUUGGGUUUAAAGGGUCCGUAGGCGGAUCUGUAAGUCAGUGGUGAAAUCUCACAGCUUAACUGUGAAACUGCCAUUGAUACUGCAGGUCUUGAGUAAAUUUGAAGUGGCUGGAAUAAGUAGUGUAGCGGUGAAAUGCAUAGAUAUUACUUAGAACACCAAUUGCGAAGGCAGGUCACUAAGAUUUAACUGACGCUGAUGGACGAAAGCGUGGGGAGCGAACAGGAUUAGAUACCCCGGUAGUCCCUGUCUCUUAUAC
rnacentral:rRNA from 1 species